GGUUAAGCGACUAAGCGUACACGGUGGAUGCCCUGGCAGUCAGAGGCGAUGAAGGACGUGCUAAUCUGCGAAAAGCGUCGGUAAGGUGAUAUGAACCGUUAUAACCGGCGAUGUCCGAAUGGGGAAACCCAGUGUGAUUCGUCACACUAUCGUUAACUGAAUACAUAGGUUAACGAGGCGAACCGGGGGAACUGAAACAUCUAAGUACCCCGAGGAAAAGAAAUCAACCGAGAUUCCCCCAGUAGCGGCGAGCGAACGGGGAGCAGCCCAGAGUCUGAAUCAGCUUGUGUGUUAGUGGAACGGUCUGGAAAGUCCGACGGUACAGGGUGAUAGUCCCGUACACCAAAAUGCACAGGUUGUGAACUCGAAGAGUAGGGCGGGACACGUGGUAUCCUGUCUGAAUAUGGGGGGACCAUCCUCCAAGGCUAAAUACUCCUGACUGACCGAUAGUGAACCAGUACCGUGAGGGAAAGGCGAAAAGAACCCCGGCGAGGGGAGUGAAAAAGAACCUGAAACCGUGUACGUACAAGCAGUGGGAGCACCUUCGGGUGUGACUGCGUACCUUUUGUAUAAUGGGUCAGCGACUUAUAUUCUGUAGCAAGGUUAACCGUAUAGGGGAGCCGCAGGGAAACCGAGUCUUAACUGGGCGUUAAGUUGCAGGGUAUAGACCCGAAACCCGGUGAUCUAGCCAUGGGCAGGUUGAAGGUUGGGUAACACUAACUGGAGGACCGAACCGACUAAUGUUGAAAAAUUAGCGGAUGACUUGUGGCUGGGGGUGAAAGGCCAAUCAAACCGGGAGAUAGCUGGUUCUCCCCGAAAGCUAUUUAGGUAGCGCCUCGUGAACUCAUCUUCGGGGGUAGAGCACUGUUUCGGCUAGGGGGUCAUCCCGACUUACCAACCCGAUGCAAACUACGAAUACCGAAGAAUGUUAUCACGGGAGACACACGGCGGGUGCUAACGUCCGUCGUGAAGAGGGAAACAACCCAGACCGCCAGCUAAGGUCCCAAAGUCAUGGUUAAGUGGGAAACGAUGUGGGAAGGCACAGACAGCCAGGAUGUUGGCUUAGAAGCAGCCAUCAUUUAAAGAAAGCGUAAUAGCUCACUGGUCGAGUCGGCCUGCGCGGAAGAUGUAACGGGGCUAAACCAUGCACCGAAGCUGCGGCAGCGACACUAUGUGUUGUUGGGUAGGGGAGCGUUCUGUAAGCCUGCGAAGGUGACCUGUGAGGGUUGCUGGAGGUAUCAGAAGUGCGAAUGCUGACAUAAGUAACGAUAAAGCGGGUGAAAAGCCCGCUCGCCGGAAGACCAAGGGUUCCUGUCCAACGUUAAUCGGGGCAGGGUGAGUCGACCCCUAAGGCGAGGCCGAAAGGCGUAGUCGAUGGGAAACAGGUUAAUAUUCCUGUACUUGGUGUUACUGCGAAGGGGGGACGGAGAAGGCUAUGUUAGCCGGGCGACGGUUGUCCCGGUUUAAGCAUGUAGGCUGAUUGUCCAGGCAAAUCCGGAUAAUCAAGGCUGAGGUGUGAUGACGAGGCACUACGGUGCUGAAGUAACAAAUGCCCUGCUUCCAGGAAAAGCCUCUAAGCAUCAGGUAACAUUAAAUCGUACCCCAAACCGACACAGGUGGUCAGGUAGAGAAUACCAAGGCGCUUGAGAGAACUCGGGUGAAGGAACUAGGCAAAAUGGUGCCGUAACUUCGGGAGAAGGCACGCUGGUGUGUAGGUGAAGUCCCUGCGGAUGGAGCUGAGACCAGUCGAAGAUACCAGCUGGCUGCAACUGUUUAUUAAAAACACAGCACUGUGCAAACACGAAAGUGGACGUAUACGGUGUGACGCCUGCCCGGUGCCGGAAGGUUAAUUGAUGGGGUUAUCCGUAAGGAGAAGCUCUUGAUCGAAGCCCCGGUAAACGGCGGCCGUAACUAUAACGGUCCUAAGGUAGCGAAAUUCCUUGUCGGGUAAGUUCCGACCUGCACGAAUGGCGUAAUGAUGGCCAGGCUGUCUCCACCCGAGACUCAGUGAAAUUGAACUCGCUGUGAAGAUGCAGUGUACCCGCGGCAAGACGGAAAGACCCCGUGAACCUUUACUAUAGCUUGACACUGAACAUUGAGCCUUGAUGUGUAGGAUAGGUGGGAGGCUUUGAAGCGUGGACGCCAGUCUGCGUGGAGCCAACCUUGAAAUACCACCCUUUAAUGUUUGAUGUUCUAACGUUGGCCCCUUACCGGGGUUGCGGACAGUGUCUGGUGGGUAGUUUGACUGGGGCGGUCUCCUCCCAAAGCGUAACGGAGGAGCACGAAGGUUAGCUAAUCCUGGUCGGACAUCAGGAGGUUAGUGCAAUGGCAUAAGCUAGCUUGACUGCGAGCGUGACGGCGCGAGCAGGUGCGAAAGCAGGUCAUAGUGAUCCGGUGGUUCUGAAUGGAAGGGCCAUCGCUCAACGGAUAAAAGGUACUCCGGGGAUAACAGGCUGAUACCGCCCAAGAGUUCAUAUCGACGGCGGUGUUUGGCACCUCGAUGUCGGCUCAUCACAUCCUGGGGCUGAAGUAGGUCCCAAGGGUAUGGCUGUUCGCCAUUUAAAGUGGUACGCGAGCUGGGUUUAGAACGUCGUGAGACAGUUCGGUCCCUAUCUGCCGUGGGCGCUGGAGAAUUGAGGGGGGCUGCUCCUAGUACGAGAGGACCGGAGUGGACGCAUCACUGGUGUUCGGGUUGUCAUGCCAAUGGCACUGCCCGGUAGCUAAAUGCGGAAGAGAUAAGUGCUGAAAGCAUCUAAGCACGAAACUUGCCCCGAGAUGAGUUCUCCCUGAGACUUUAAGUCUCCUGAAGGAACGUUAAAGACGAUGACGUUGAUAGGCCGGGUGUGUAAGCGCAGCGAUGCGUUGAGCUAACCGGUACUAAUGAACCGUGAGGCUUAACCUU
rnacentral:rRNA from 1 species